AAAGCGGCAACAUGGGGAUGUAAAAGAGGUAAUGCUGCUAGAAAUAUUCUUCACGUGUCAAAUGGUGCACCGAUGCAAGAGAUUUCUACCACGUAAACCCAAAACUGAAGUUGCUGUAUUGUAAGUGUUGAGGUGAGCAAGUUCUACAGCAGGCAGAUCAGCAAAUGGAUGAGGAAUGGUGGUGCCUUAGACCAGCCUGAUAACAGGAGAAGUGUUUGCAUACCAGAUACAUGUUGAAGGUCAGCCCUAUGCAUUAUGAGUGGAUGGAGGAAAUAUACAACAGUGUGAAUACUCAAGAGGUGAGAAUCAUUGGUGGCCAUAUGGGAAACUGGCUACCACAGAAACCCAACCUAGUUUUGGCAGGGAGAGAGAGUGGUUUAAACAUCUAGUCAUGGAAAUGAAAUUUAGAUCAUAGAAGAUUUAAAAUGUUGGGAAAAAUAACUGAUUUUGUGGCUCUAGUUAUUUUAAUAAUCAAUUGGAUUGAUUAUAUGGAUGACAGAUUCUGCAAUGUCAUAACUGAAAUGCCUAAAGAUCUUUGCUUGG
rnacentral:lncRNA from 1 species